AUACGGAGGGUGCAAGCGUUAUCCGGAAUCAUUGGGUUUAAAGGGUCCGUAGGCGGACUAAUAAGUCAGGGGUGAAAUCCCACAGCUUAACUGUGGAACUGCCUUUGAUACUGUUAGUCUUGAGUUAUAUGGAAGUAGAUAGAAUGUGUAGUGUAGCGGUGAAAUGCUUAGAGAUUACACAGAAUACUGAUUGCGAAGGCAGUCUACUACAUAUAUACUGACGCUAAUGGACGAAAGCGUGGGGAGCGAACAGGAUUAGAAACCCUAGUAGUCC
rnacentral:rRNA from 1 species